UAUGAGAAUCAAAGAUGAGACCUUGCUCGU
rnacentral:piRNA from 1 species